UAGGGAAUCUUCGGCAAUGGACGAAAGUCUGACCGAGCAACGCCGCGUGAGUGAAGAAGGUUUUCGGAUCGUAAAACUCUGUUGUUAGAGAAGAACAAGGACGUUAGUAACUGAACGUCCCCUGACGGUAUCUAACCAGAAAGCCACGGCUAACUACGUGCCAGCAGCCGCGGUAAUACGUAGGUGGCAAGCGUUGUCCGGAUUUAUUGGGCGUAAAGCGAGCGCAGGCGGUUUCUUAAGUCUGAUGUGAAAGCCCCCGGCUCAACCGGAGAGGGUCAUUGGAAACUGGGAGACUUGAGUGCAGAAGAGGGGAGUGGAAUUCCAUGUGUAGCGGUGAAAUGCGUAGAUAUAUGGAGGAACACCAGUGGCGAAGGCGGCUCUCUGGUCUGUAACUGACGCUGAGGCUCGAGAGCGUGGGGAGCAAACAGG
rnacentral:rRNA from 1 species